AAACCAACUGGAAUUACCUUAGUAACGGCGAGUGAAGCGGUAAAAGCUCAAAUUUGAAAUCUGGUACUUUCAGUGCCCGAGUUGUAAUUUGUAGAAUUUGUCUUUGAUUAGGUCCUUGUCUAUGUUCCUUGGAACAGGACGUCAUAGAGGGUGAGAAUCCCGUUUGGCGAGGAUACCUUUUCUUUGUAAGACUUUUUCGAAGAGUCGAGUUGUUUGGGAAUGCAGCUCAAAGUGGGUGGUAAAUUCCAUCUAAAGCUAAAUAUUGGCGAGAGACCGAUAGCGAACAAGUACAGUGAUGGAAAGAUGAAAAGAACUUUGAAAAGAGGGUGAAAAAGUACGUGAAAUUGUUGAAAGGGAGGGCAUUUGAUCAGACAUGGUGUUUUUGCAUGCACUCGCCUCUCGUGGGCUUGGGCCUCUCAAAAAUUUCACUGGGCCAACAUCAAUUCUGGCAGCAGGAUAAAUCAUUAAGAAUGUAGCUACUUCGGUAGUGUUAUAGCUUUUUGGAAUACUGUUAGCCGGGAUUGAGGA
rnacentral:rRNA from 1 species